AGAGUUUGAUCCUGGCUCAGAAUGAACGCUGGCGGCGUGCCUAACACAUGCAAGUCGGAUGUGCCGCAAGGUGCAUGGCAGACGGGUGAGUAACGCGUGGGGAAUCUACCUUUUAGUGGGGAAUAACGCUCCGAAAGGAGUGGUAAUACCGCAUGAGACCUUUGGCUGGGAUGCUGGAGGUGAAACCUGGGGACCGCAAGGCCUGGGGCUAGAAGAGGAUCCUGCGUCUGAUUAGCUAGUUGGCGGGGUAAUGGCCCACCAAGGCGACGAUCAGUAGCCGGCCUGAGAGGGUGAUCGGCCACACUGGAACUGAGACACGGUCCAGACUCCUACGGGAGGCAGCAGUGGGGAAUUUUGCGCAAUGGGCGAAAGCCUGACGCAGCAACGCCGCGUGGGUGAUGAAGGUCUUCGGAUCGUAAAACCCUGUCGUCAGGGACGAAGGUUGCGAGUUUAAGAGAUGCGCAACUUGACGGUACCUGGAGAGGAAGCCCCGGCUAACUCUGUGCCAGCAGCCGCGGUAAUACAGAGGGGGCAAGCGUUAUUCGGAAUUAUUGGGCGUAAAGGGCGCGUAGGCGGUUUUUUAAGUCAGAUGUGUAAUCCCCGAGCUUAACUUGGGAACUGCAUCUGAGACUGGAAGGCUAGAGUACUGGAGAGGGUGGUGGAAUUCCUCGUGUAGCGGUGAAAUGCGUAGAGAUGAGGAGGAACACCAGUGGCGAAGGCGGCCACCUGGACAGUAACUGACGCUGAGGCGCGAAAGUGUGGGUAGCAAACAGGAUUAGAUACCCUGGUAGUCCACGCUGUAAACGAUGAACACUU
rnacentral:rRNA from 1 species